GACGAACGCUGGCGGCGUGCUUAACACAUGCAAGUCGAACGGAAAGGCCCUGCUUUUGUGGGGUGCUCGAGUGGCGAACGGGUGAGUAACACGUGAGUAACCUGCCCUUGACUUUGGGAUAACUUCAGGAAACUGGGGCUAAUACCGGAUAGGAGCUCCUGCUGCAGGGUGGGGGUUGGAAAGUUUCGGCGGUUGGGGAUGGACUCGCGGCUUAUCAGCUUGUUGGUGGGGUAGUGGCUUACCAAGGCUUUGACGGGUAGCCGGCCUGAGAGGGUGACCGGCCACAUUGGGCCUGAGAUACGGCCCAGACUCCUACGGGAGGCAGCAGUGGGGAAUAUUGCACAGUGGGCGGAAGCCUGAUGCAGCAACGCCGCGUGCGGGAUGACGGCCUUCGGGUUGUAAACCGCUUUCGCCUGUGACGAAGCGUGAGUGACGGUAAUGGGUAAAGAAGCACCGGCUAACUACGUG
rnacentral:rRNA from 1 species